GAAGCGGCCGCCAGAGGGAGGCAGAGUGACGCCUCUUCGAAGUGUUGCCAGUUUUUGUACAAAGGAAUGAGGUCGAUGAAUGUCACUGGCUUGGCCUGAGGGGAAUCAAGGGACAGAAGACAGAAGGUUGACUUAGGUGAUGUAUACAGGUUAUUGGUGUCCAAUCCCAGUGAGACCUAGAAGCUGACCUGACAGAUGUUUGCAAGUGCAACCCUCAUGCAAUAUCUACCAUCUUUAAUAUGAAAAGAAUCCAGCAUGAGUGAGAGUGCUCUGCUUCUUCCCUUUUACAGUUAAAAGCAGGAGUUCCAACUUCAAGGCCAGGAAAUUAAUUAACACUAAGGCUGUACCAGUGGUAAGCUGGCUGCAACAUACUGAGUUCAAUCGCUGAUGCCAAAGAAAGGAUGUGUGCCUACCUGAACCCAGGUCAGUUCCACUCAUCUCCUACGGUGUCAUCUCACUCAAGCUGGGCGGUGUGAGCUAGGCCCAGUGUUGCCGGCCAUGCACUGAUGGCUCACAGCAUGAUGUUGGGUUCAGUUUUCUUUAUUUCAAAAAUUCUCUCCCCUGGAGACCUAACACAUUGUUGCAGUAAUUCGCUAAAUCUGAUGCUUAAGGAAAAUUGCCUACUUAAAAUCCCACUGAAAUCACAAUGCAAUCCAAAAUAAUUUGUCUAUUUUUUAUCAGUAAAAGGAAGACAAGCAGUCCUAUGAGAAAUGGUCCUUUUCAUCUCAGCAGGCUGAAGGGGUGUAUUGACGUCUGUGUUUGAUUGACAACAGCAGACAGCCUGAGCUCUGGCAGCAGAAUGAGACCUGCAGUAACAAACUUGUGCUGUAGCUUACAAGCCAUGGCACAGUGUGUGAAGACUGCAACUGAAUCUAAAUAGCUUUUGACAUUUGAAGGACAUCAGAGCUUGCUAGUGCCUUGCACUGUGUGAGAGGAUCACAGCGCAGACAGAUGACAGAUAAGUGCUCUCAUUAGCCACCAAGACAGUAUUGACGAAAAAUUGCCUGCUCCUCGCUAAUGGAAACACUCCGGUCUGUCAUUAGAAUGUGCAGCGGUGCAGAGAUGUCAGGGGGUCAAGAGGUAACCAAGGCAAGAUUUAUGGCUGCCAAUAUGAUGACACUUGCAAGGUCAUGCAUCAUGUAUACGUCACACGCCUGCCAUCCACAGAUCUAAAUAAUGACACCAAUGGAAUUUUAUUACUUUUUGCCAUCCAAUUAAAUCUAACACUUUGUAGAUGAAGCAUGUCUUUAACAUUAGCAUGUGAGAAUUGAUUGUUCAUGUGUAAAUGUUUUGCCCAACUAGUACUUAAAGUCAGACUGAAAUUGAAUUCUUGCUGAAAGAGCAUAUAUAUUUGUUGUUUAUUUUAACCAAAUCAUAAUUUCCAAAAUUAGAAAUUUAAGUUUUAUCAUUUUUCUGCAAUGACGGCUGCCCCUUCGUUAGUGUUUUCCAAGGUAAAGGAGCUUUUGUUACAACUGAUGAAUUUGGUAAUUUGAUUUUGUGCUAUGUCUUUGUGCUUUGUAAAAUAGUACGUAAUAUAACUUCAGUUCCAACAGACAUACAGUUCACCAGCUGGGUGGCUGACAGAGUUACCCUUGCUUACACCCCGUUAUUUCAGCCCUGCAUGUUUCUCCAUGACUCCAUACAUUACUGCGUGACUCUGUACAUCACUCUCUGUCGGGAUUUAAAUCACAGGGUAAGGCAUGCAGUGAGGUUACAGGACUAUGUUGCUAAGUGAGUUUUGACAGUCUGGUCAUUUGUCAACACCCCAACAGGACUCAUGAAAGACAGACAGUUAAUGCUAGCUAGAACCAGGGUGGGAAAUUAGCACCAGCUGGUAGAUUUCAGACACAAAAUAAUACUUUACUAUUGAGUGGCCAGUAGAUGUUCACAUUUGAAAAAGUUAAUUUCCCACCCUAGCUAGAACCCUCCCUCCUUUGUAUAAAGUGGGAUGGACAACACUGAGUGUGUGUGAGCUGCCGAUGACUCAGCAGGUGUUGAAAUAACAUGAAUGAAAAAGUAACGAGUAGUGCAAAUAGGUGUUUACGUUAGCAAGCUUGGCUGCGUAGUUUCCUCUUUUUGAAGGGAAUCUAGUUAGCCUAUGCUUGCUAGUUUCCACUGUAUCAAUCUAUACAAACUUAAACACAAUGGGACCUCCCAGGUGCUGAAUGUUGUUAAGGGACAGACAUCUUAAAUUGCGUACAUAUCGACUGAUAAUAUUGAAUCAACAUUUAUGGCUGUACAGGGC